CCCGACGAGGGGAGUGAAACAGUACCUGAAACCGGACGCCUACAAUCAGUUGGAGGGGCAUAAGCCCUGACAGCGUACCUUUUGUAUAAUGGGUCAUCGACUUGGUCUAUCUAGCAAGCUUAAGCCGUUAGGUGUAGGCGCAGCGAAAGCGAGUCUUAAUAGGGCGCAUGAGUUAGAUGGAUCAGACCCGAAACCGAGUGAUCUAGGCAUGGCCAGGUUGAAGAUACGGUAACACGUAUUGGAGGACCGAACCCACAUCCGUUGAAAAGGAUCGGGAUGAGCUGUGCCUAGGGGUGAAAGGCCAAUCAAACUCGGAGAUAGCUGGUUCUCCGCGAAAUCUAUUUAGGUAGAGCGUCAUCCGAAUACCCCGGGGGGUAGAGCACUGGAUGGGUAAUGGGGCCCCACAGGCUUACUGAUCCUAACCAAACUCCGAAUACCCGGGAGUACUAGAUGGCAGACACACUGCGGGUGCUAACGCCCGUAGUGAAGAGGGAAACAACCCUGACCGACAGUUAAGGCCCCCAAUUCAUGGCUAAGUGGGAAAGCAGGUGGGACGACCAAAACAACCAGGAGGUUGGCUUAGAAGCAGCCACCCUUUAAAGAAAGCGUAAUAGCUCACUGGUCCAGCGAACCUGCGCCGAAAAUGUAACGGGUCUAAGCAUGACACCGAAGCCACGGAUCUCGUAAGAGAUGGUAGGAGAGUAUUCCAACGGCGAUGAAGGUCAACCGAAAGGAUGGCUGGAGCUUUUGGAAGAGCUUAUGCAGGCAUGAGUAGCGAUAAAACGGGCGAGAAACCCGUUCGCCGUAAGCCUAAGGUUUCCUAGGCCAGGUUAAUCCUCCUAGGGUGAGUCGGACCCUAAGCCGAGGCCGAAAGGCGUAGGCGAUGGAAAACAGGCAAAUAUUCCUGUACCAGCUCAGCAUGUUUGAUUCUCAGAAGGGACGGAGAAGGAUAGAUCAGCCACACGUUGGUUAGUGGUUUAAACCCGUAGGCGGUCACUCUAGGACGCGAAGGCGACAAACGGAGUGGCAACGCUGAGAGGUGAUGAGGUGGGCUAUGCCCUAAACUGAUUGAUUCCCUGCUUCCAAGAAAAGCUUCGGAGAUAGUGACUGAGCUGACCGUACCGUAAACCGACACAGGUAGGCGGGGAGAGCAUCCCAAGGCGCUUGAGAGAACUCUGGUUAAGGAACUCGGCAAAUUAGCACCGUAACUUCGGGAUAAGGUGUGCCCCUCGCGGUGAUGAGCCUCGCGCUCUGAGCGGCAGGGGGCUGCAGUGAAAUGGCGGUAGCGACUGUUUACUAAAAACAUAGGACUCUGCAAAAUCGAAAGAUGAAGUAUAGGGUCUGACGCCUGCCCGGUGCCGGAAGGUUAAGAGGAGUGGUCAACGUAAGUGAAGCCAUGAAUUGAAGCCCCGGUAAACGGCGGCCGUAACUAUAACGGUCCUAAGGUAGCGAAAUUCCUUGUCGGGUAAGUUCCGACCUGCACGAAUGGC
rnacentral:rRNA from 1 species